AAUGAACGCUGGCGGCAUGCCUAACACAUGCCAGUCGAACGAGACCAUCGGGCUUAGUGGCGGAUGGGUGCGUAACGCGUGGGAAACUGCCUAUAGGUUUGGCAUAACUUCCCGGAAGGGGUGCUAAUACCGGAUCAUGUAUUCGGUCCAAAGUUUUAUAGCCUUUGGAUGGGCUUGGGUUGGCUUAGUUUGUUGGUAGGGUAAAAGCGUACCAAGGCGACGAUACAUAGCUGGUCAGAGAGGCUGAGCAGCGACACUGGGGCUGAGACACGGCCCAGACUCCUACGCGAGGCAGCAGUGGGUAAUACUGGACAGUGAGCUAUAGCCUGAAGCAGCUAUGCCUCGUGAGUAAUUAAGGCCGUAAGGUAGUAAAGCACGUUUACCCGUGACUGUAAUGACAGUACCGAGAGAAUAAGCACCGGCUAACUCCGUG
rnacentral:rRNA from 1 species